ensembl:processed_transcript Snhg15 small nucleolar RNA host gene 15
GUGAGCGUCCUCAGCUGGCAGCCAUGGCUGGCGGGUCCUUCCUAGCAUGUGCUGCGGCCCUCACCUUAUCUUCCGUCAUCAGGGCACAGGCGCCGUGCAGGGCUAUUCCGAGUCCAGGUAGAGAUGGCUGAGCUCGGUGGCAGGAGAUCAGCCUGCGGUGGAGCAGGGACGUUUGCCCUGGGGAGACACGUGCCACCGGGUGGACAUCGAGGCCCUGUGGGUGGCCCUACAGCGUGGAAGGGAUGACCGAGCUUUGGGACAUGUCCUGGUAAGUCAGUUGUGGAAGCUCGGUGGCCGGUGAAGCCAAACUCCGUAUCUUGAAUUCAUUUUCAGGACUAAUUCUCUCCCCUAGACUUCUGGGGACUGGGAGACUGCAGUAUGGGUCGUGCAGGAUUGGAGUGAUAUACUUAGCAAGCCUCCAGCGUGCUUGGGUCUGCAGUGACCCUGUGCAUUCCUACAGUGCUUGCCAGAACAAUUUUGAAGUGGUUUGAGGCCUUGCCCUGCCCUCUCCAGAGCAAGGUUAUAGAAAUUUCAGACAAUAUGGCAGACACCUGCCACGUGGAUAAAUUACAAGCCGGUAAGAUUUGCAAUGCUGCACUUUGGGUUUUUUGUUUUGUUUAACUGUGUGGGAUAGUUCUGCACAUGGUGCAGAGGCAAAUAAGUCAUUUCUUGUUG